UCGGGGACACACCCAAUCCACUCCCCCAAUCCCCGCUCCUCCUCUCCUCCCCAACCCAAGUCUCUUCUCCUCCCCAAUCGCCGGCCGACCUCUCUCUCCCGCUGCAGCCACGCGUGAUGCCGGAGAGGCCACUCCCCAGGCGCUGGAGAAGCGUGAGAGGGCACUCUCCCAGCCGCAGAAGGCGUUGGAUUGGAUGGAGGCGAGCGCCGCGCCGCCUCUCCCCUCGUGGAAGGCUAUGCGUGCCGAGAACGCGCUGGGAGGAUCCGCGGCGGCGGCGACAGGAGGCGCCGGGCGCGGCCGGAGAUAGGCCGGCGCAGGGUGGAUCCGCUCCGGCGACGACCGGAGGCGACGGGCUCGCGCGGGGCGGAUCCACGGCGGUGGCGACUGCAGGCGCCAGGCGCGGCUCGUCUACGUCGCGGCCUCGUCCUCUCCUCUUCGGAUGUCGCCGCGGGGAGGCGGCCGUACCGGCGUUCUGGCGAGGAAGGAGCGCAUCGGGCCACUGCGCGUCGCACACCUAUGUCGCGGCCUAAGGUCAGGACGGGCAGGCGGCCGUGGCAGCGUUCCUCCCCGGCGUCGUCUGCAUCUUCCCCGCCAACAUCCUUGGCGGAGUUCCUCCCCAGUUUUUCCUCGGUCAGCGGUGACUCGUGGCGGAACAAGGGCUCCUAAGACGGCUCACGCGUUGCGGAGGAGCUGGGUCGAAGUCGCUGCAAUGGGGUGAGCGCCGACGGAGUUGGCGACGGGGAGAAGAUGCACACAAGGAGGAUGGCACGCAGGGGGUGUGCUCUUCCUGGCUGGGAGGAGAUGACGUGAUUGAUGCUCAGUGUGAGAUUUGGACUGAGAUUGAGACUGAGAAGUGCUAUUUGCUCAUUUAUAGACCCUUCUUUUUUACUAUGAGAUUUCUUCAACUUAUUUUUGCUCCCGAAUUGAGGUAUGUUUCUUGAGAGGUGGAAAAUCAGAAGCUGUGUAUGAACCGUACUGGUUGAGGAGCAUAUGGAGAUGAAGAGAAUAGGAGCUUAUGCCGGCUGGGUUGUGGUAUUUUUAUAAUAUGGAGAUCAGGUUGGUCUAAAGGUGAAGAGCUUCAAGGCCUUGUCAGUUUGCAAGGCGCUGGUUGUUGAUGUGAGCUUAUUUGGAGCCUCCAGAUUAUCCUGGGCAUCAUCAAAAGGAUGGCAGCAAUGGCCCAGACUCUGGAUGUCCAGGAGUUUCUUACACCACAGCAUUAGUGUUCGUGGAGUCCAUUGUUGUUGCAGGUUGCAAACCAUCGGUUGGAGAUCUGCUCUGAGGCAUACCAAUAUAUUUUCCAGUGGUUUGGAGGCUAAAUUGAUUUUGCGCUCAAGCAUUGCUAGAUGACUUUCUAGGAAGCUGCAUUGACAUAUGCAAAUUUACUAAUUUUCGGAAUACUCCUGCACGAUGAAAAUAUAGAUUUGCUGGAAGCCAAACAUGUAUACUGGUGUAUAAUUUUGUUAAGUUGCAAGCCUCGUUCUCCCCUCCUCACGGCGUGGCCGCCGCCUCUCCACCUGCACUCCAACCUCAUCGCUUCUUCCCGGAUGGUGCCUACUGGGAACAUCCCCCUCUCUCACCUCCACUUUGUUCUCCUACAUGGCUUGUUGUCUGUUUGGCGUUAUGGGGUGAAGGCGAAAAUGGCGCGAUGGAGGGAGAAGCACACAAAAGGAGCGGGAUAGAGAUGGAGCUAGGAAGAGGCGCUCUAGCGGCCGACGAAGCAGGCUUCGGGAGAUAGGUCGGUCGCCGUCCUCAUCAGUUCAGCGGCAGAUGCGGCCGUGCCGCGCUACCGCCUCCCAGAGCCUCUACCGCCGUCCUCAUUUAGAGUUCUUUAUCGAUUUGGCCAGUCUGUUAUCAGCUCAUUACAACUGAUGGUGUUGAUGAUGAUUCACAGCCUUUUUUUAGCUUUGGCAUGGUCGGAUUUUCACAGUCCGUAUCUUUUCUCUACAUGGUCGAAUUUUCGGUUCAACUGCUCUAUACAAUAAUGUACUGGUUUGUAGGUUUGUGAAUGAUUUUUGGAAGCUGUUGUAAGAUGUUAAAUUCUUUGUUCAUGUCUUUUUAAGAAGUGUGCUUGACAACCCCGCCAUCCAGCAUUUUGACUUUUAAUUGAUAAUUGAUGUUUUUUUAUGCGUGCAGGUCUGAAGAAGAAAAGAAGAACUUGUGAACGUAGUCUCCAUAUUUGGGAAUGGAGAGAAAAUUAAUAUGAGGAAGCUAGAGGAGAGCCAUGGUGGCGAACAAGGGUACAGAUUAAGGACGUCGUUUGCGAAAGGCAUGAGUUUGGUAGGCGAGGGCACCAUGUACAAUGGGAGGAAGGACGUGUGAACCAGAGACUUUUGGCAAAGGCAUUUGUAUAUCUCAGUUUGUUAUUGGCUUGGCUGGUGAACUUGCUGACUGCCGGUAAUAAUAUGUCAUGAAUGUUGAAGAAAAGCCGUGUGGCAGGAGAGAAAUUUCUUCAUAGCAUCGACCAUCAGACCACCACUAGUAGUGACCAGCGAGAGAUAGUGGUAGAAGGUAGUUAAAAAAGUUGAACGAAUCGUUUUUCCAGUAGAAGCACCAAUGAUAGCAAAAUUGUUUGAUGUAUAGCAUGCAUACAUGUUUGUAUUAUAGUUCAAUUCUUUAAGGACUUCAUUUUUGGAAUUUGACUUUUGGAACAUUAUAGGCUCAUACUCCUUCUAUCCAUUUUGCUCUGUUCACAAAGACAUGCAAUGAUAUUUGAUUAUGUGGUUGUUUCAUGACUUCAUGUGUGUUAAACUGGGUAUUUAGAAACUGUGGUCCUACAUUGACUAUCAUAUUUGAUUCUCUUAAUCACUCGCAUGAUACAAAUGCUUAUAGUUAUAACCAAUGGAGAACUUGUGUUGCCUCAAAAGAAUGGGCAUGCAUUGGAAAUUUCUUUCGGUCAAUGGAGAACAUGUGUUGCCUCAAAACGGAGCUAAAGGAUGGGGAUAUAGUUGAGUUCGGAAUUGCAGUUUUCUCAUCUACUGAUUCCGCCACUUGCGCCAUAGCGCAACAGGCUGCAGGCAGGGAAGCGUACUGGAGGGUGGCUGCCGGGGCUUGGCAUGAGUUCUUGAUGGCAUGGUGAGGGAGCAAGACAUCAUCAGGUUUACUUACUGAUGUGGCCUCUGCGUCCCGUGCGCUGGUGGUGCAGUCCUCUCAGAUCAGACACAAGCAGGUAGUUGUAGAUACCGUAUCUUCAAACGAGUUACUCAUAGCAUCUACAGAGUGGGCCAAUAUUCGAAAAGAGCACAAGACUUGAGGAUUUGAGCAUGCUUGUAGGCUAGAAGCAUCAACUUCAGACUUCGUCACUUGUUGACAGUCUAAAAUUGACCCUGAACUGAUAUGGGCACUUGCUAAGCAAGAUGUCAAAGACAAGCACCAGCUGAAGAUGAAAUAGAAAAUACAGCCGGUAAAGGCACCAACGAAGGAAAACCUUCAGGCGUCAAACAUGAUGGAAGGAUGUUGGAUGGUCAGGUAAACCAUCUCAGCUUCAAGAUCAGAAUUCAUUUCUUGGAGGCACUGGUUUUACUAAGCCAUGUUGGUAUUCAGGCUUUUGUCAGGCGGUGGCGGUAAAUUCUAGCGCAUGCAUUUGUGUGGCCUGUUGUAGCCAACAUCAGCUGCAGCAUGUGGACAGGGGGCCUCCUCUUUUCUCUGCCUCCAGCACUCUGGUUUUCAAUUGCUAACGGAUGUUUUUCUAAACACGAUAACACGAUGUGUGCAGGUUUGAGGAAGAAGAAGGAAGUAUCAAGAAGACCCAAGAUGGGGCAUUUCGUGAGGAGUUGGAAAUCGGAGGUUGGGGUACAAUUUCCAAGGACUAAACGGGUUAUUAGGUUUUUGUUGCAGGUGGAAUGGUCAACUCACUUGUGCAUCACAGACGACACUUGUGCAUGCAAUUCAAUUCCAUUUACUGAACAAUAUUGUAUUAGUCAGGCUAUUUUUCUUUCUUCUAUAGACUGAUCCUCAAGCUUGAAUCUAACCUAUAUGUCUUAUGAAACUGUCACAAUUCAAUUCAACUAUAGGAGUUGAGGUCGAACUUAUGAAUUGUGACUGAUCCUCAA